rnacentral:rRNA from 1 species
UACGAAGGGGGCUAGCGUUGUUCGGAAUCACUGGGCGUAAAGCGCACGUAGGCGGAUCUUUAAGUCAGGGGUGAAAUCCCGAGGCUCAACCUCGGAACUGCCUUUGAUACUGGGGAUCUCGAGUCCGGGAGAGGUGAGUGGAACUGCGAGUGUAGAGGUGAAAUUCGUAGAUAUUCGCAAGAACACCAGUGGCGAAGGCGGCUCACUGGCCCGGAACUGACGCUGAGGUGCGAAAGCGUGGGGAGCAA